rnacentral:rRNA from 1 species
GACGAACGCUGGCGGCGUGCUUAACACAUGCAAGUCGAACGGAAAGGCCCUGCUUUUGUGGGGUGCUCGAGUGGCGAACGGGUGAGUAACACGUGAGUAACCUGCCCUUGACUUUGGGAUAACUUCAGGAAACUGGGGCUAAUACCGGAUAGGAGCUCCUGCUGCAUGGUGGGGGUUGGAAAGUUUCGGCGGUUGGGGAUGGACUCGCGGCUUAUCAGCUUGUUGGUGGGGUAGUGGCUUACCAAGGCUUUGACGGGUAGCCGGCCUGAGAGGGUGACCGGCCACAUGGGGACUGAGAGACGGCCCAGACUCCUACGGGAGGCAGCAGUGGGGAAUAUGGCACAAUGGGCGGAAGCCUGAUGCAGCAACGCCGCGUGCGGGAUGACGGCCUUCGGGUUGUAAACCGCUUUCGCCUGUGACGAAGCGUGAGUGACGGUAAUGGGUAAAGAAGCACCGGCUAACUACGUG